rnacentral:rRNA from 1 species
UGAUUUGAAGAGCUUGCUCAGAUAUGACGAUGGACAUUGCAAAGAGUGGCGAACGGGUGAGUAACACGUGGGAAACCUACCUCUUAGCAGGGGAUAACAUUUGGAAACAGAUGCUAAUACCGUAUAACAAUGACAACCGCAUGGUUGUUAUUUAAAAGAUGGUUCUGCUAUCACUAAGAGAUGGUCCCGCGGUGCAUUAGCUAGUUGGUAAGGUAAUGGCUUACCAAGGCGAUGAUGCAUAGCCGAGUUGAGAGACUGAUCGGCCACAAUGGGACUGAGACACGGCCCAUACUCCUACGGGAGGCAGCAGUAGGGAAUCUUCCACAAUGGGCGAAAGCCUGAUGGAGCAACGCCGCGUGUGUGAUGAAGGGUUUCGGCUCGUAAAACACUGUUGUAAGAGAAGAAUGACAUUGAGAGUAACUGUUCAAUGUGUGACGGUAUCUUACCAGAAAGGAACGGCUAAAUACGUGCCAGCAGCCGCGGUAAUACGUAUGUUCCAAGCGUUAUCCGGAUUUAUUGGGCGUAAAGCGAGCGCAGACGGUUAUUUAAGUCUGAAGUGAAAGCCCUCAGCUCAACUGAGGAAUUGCUUUGGAAACUGGAUGACUUGAGUGCAGUAGAGGAAAGUGGAACUCCAUGUGUAGCGGUGAAAUGCGUAGAUAUAUGGAAGAACACCAGUGGCGAAGGCGGCUUUCUGGACUGUAACUGACGUUGAGGCUCGAAAGUGUGGGUAGCAAACAGGAUUAGAUACCCUGGUAGUCCACACCGUAAACGAUGAGUGCUAGGUGUUUGAGGGUUUCCGCCCUUAAGUGCCGCAGCUAACGCAUUAAGCACUCCGCCUGGGGAGUACGACCGCAAGGUUGAAACUCAAAGGAAUUGACGGGGGACCCGCACAAGCGGUGGAGCAUGUGGUUUAAUUCGAAGCAACGCGAAGAACCUUACCAGGUCUUGACAUCCCUUGACAACUCCAGAGAUGGAGCGUUCCCUUCGGGGACAAGGUGACAGGUGGUGCAUGGUUGUCGUCAGCUCGUGUCGUGAGAUGUUGGGUUAAGUCCCGCAACGAGCGCAACCCUUAUUACUAGUUGCCAGCAUUCAGUUGGGCACUCUAGUGAGACUGCCGGUGACAAACCGGAGGAAGGUGGGGAUGACGUCAAAUCAUCAUGCCCCUUAUGACCUGGGCUACACACGUGCUACAAUGGCGUAUACAACGAGUUGCCAACCCGCGAGGGUGAGCUAAUCUCUUAAAGUACGUCUCAGUUCGGAUUGUAGGCUGCAACUCGCCUACAUGAAGUCGGAAUCGCUAGUAAUCGCGGAUCAGCACGCCGCGGUGAAUACGUUCCCGGGUCUUGUACACACCGCCCGUCACACCAUGAGAGUU